AGACUCUGUCUUAAAAAAAAAAAAAAUGCCGGGUGCGGUGGCUCACGCCUGUAAUCCCAACACUUUGGGAGGCCGAGGCGGGCAGAUCACCUGAGGUCAGGAGUUCAAGACCAGCCUCAACGUGGAGAAACCCCGUCUCUACUAAAAAUACAAAAUUAUCUGGGCAAGGUGGUGCAUGCCUGUAAUCCCAGCUACUCGGGAGGCUGAGGCAGGAGAAUUGCUUGAACUUGGCAGAUGGAGGUUGCAGUGAGCCGAGAUCAAGCCAUUGCACUCUAGCCUGGGCAACAAGAGCGAAACUCCGUCUCAAAAAAGAAAAAAAAGGACUGAGCGCUCCAACUGCAGCUUAUCUGAUGGCCGGUCCACAGCCCACAGAGUACCCGCUGCCUGAGGCGGGGAACCAACUGUGGGUAUGCCAGGGCCUCUCCUCCUU
rnacentral:lncRNA from 1 species